GACGAACGCUGGCGGCAGGCUUAACACAUGCAAGUCGAACGGGUGUAGCAAUACAUCAGUGGCAGACGGGUGAGUAACACGUGGGAACCUUCCUAGGGGUACGGAAAAACUCAGGGAAACUUGAGCUAAUACCGUAUACGUCCGUGAGGAGAAAGAUUUAUCGCCCUUAGACGGGCCCGCGUCGGAUUAGCUAGUUGGUGGGGUAACGGCAUACAAAGGCGACGAUCCGUAGCUGAUCUUAGAGGAUGAUCAGCCACACUGGGACUGAGACACGGCCCAGACUCCUACGGGAGGCAGCAGUGGGGAAUCUUGGACAAUGGGCGCAAGCCUGAUCCAGCCAUGCCGCGUGAGUGAAGAAGGUCUUCGGAUUGUAAAGCUCUUUUGCCAGGGACGAUAAUGACGGUACCUGGAGAAUAAGCCCCGGCAAACUUCGUGCCAGCCGCCGCCGUAA
rnacentral:rRNA from 1 species